GACGAACGCUGGCGGCGUGCUUAACACAUGCAAGUCGAACGGAAAGGCCCUGCUUUUGUGGGUUGCUCGAGUGGCGAACGGGUGAGUAACACGUGAGUAACCUGCCCUUGACUUUGGGAUAACUUCAGGAAACUGGGGCUAAUACCGGAUAGGAGCUCCUGCUGCAUGGUGGGGGUUGGAAAGUUUCGGCGGUUGGGGAUGGACUCGCGGCUUAUCAGCUUGUUGGUGGGGUAGUGGCUUACCAAGGCUUUGACGGGUAGCAGGCCUGAGAGGGUGACCGGCGACCUAGGGACUGAGGUACGGCCCCGACUCCUACGGGAGGCAGAAGUGCGGAAUAUUGCACAAUGGGCGGAAGCCUGAUGCAGCAACGCCGCGUGCGGGAUGACGGCCUUCGGGUUGUAAACCGCUUUCGCCUGUGACGAAGCGUGAGUGACGGUAAUCGGUAAAGAAGGCCCGGCUAACUACGUG
rnacentral:rRNA from 1 species